GACGAACGCUGGCGGCGUGCUUAACACAUGCAAGUCGAACGGUGAAGCGCCUUCCUUUUUGGUGGGUGUGGAUGAGUGGCGAACGGGUGAGUAACACGUGAGUAACCUGCCCCCUUCUUCUGGAUAACCGCAUGAAAGUGUGGCUAAUACGGGAUAUUCUGGGUCUGUCGCAUGAUGGGUCUGGGAAAGAUAUUGUUUCGGUGGGGGAUGGGCUCGCGGCCUAUCAGCUUGUUGGUGGGGUGAUGGCCUACCAAGGCGGUGACGGGUAGCCGGCCUGAGAGGGUGGACGGUCAUACUGGGACUGAGACACGGCCCAGACUCCUACGGGAGGCAGCAGUGGGGAAUAUUGCACAAUGGGCGCAAGUCUGAUGCAGCGACGCCGCGUGAGGGAUGGAGGCCUUCGGGUUGUGAACCUCUUUCGCCAGUGAAGCAGGCCUGCCUCGUUUGUGGGUGGGUUGACGGUAGCUGGAUAAGAAGCGCCGGCUAACUACGUG
rnacentral:rRNA from 1 species